GGGGAAUUAGCUCAGUUGGGAGAGCGCCGGCUUUGCAAGCCGGAGGUCACCGGUUCGAGCCCGGUAUUCUCCACAA
rnacentral:tRNA from 1 species